GCUGGCGGCGUGCCUAAUACAUGCAAGUCGAACGAGUUCUCGUUGAUGAUCGGUGCUUGCACCGAGAUUCAACAUGGAACGAGUGGCGGACGGGUGAGUAACACGUGGGUAACCUGCCCUUAAGUGGGGGAUAACAUUUGGAAACAGAUGCUAAUACCGCAUAGAUCCAAGAACCGCAUGGUUCUUGGCUGAAAGAUGGCGUAAGCUAUCGCUUUUGGAUGGACCCGCGGCGUAUUAGCUAGUUGGUGAGGUAAUGGCUCACCAAGGCGAUGAUACGUAGCCGAACUGAGAGGUUGAUCGGCCACAUUGGGACUGAGACACGGCCCAAACUCCUACGGGAGGCAGCAGUAGGGAAUCUUCCACAAUGGACGCAAGUCUGAUGGAGCAACGCCGCGUGAGUGAAGAAGGCUUUCGGGUCGUAAAACUCUGUUGUUGGAGAAGAAUGGUCGGCAGAGUAACUGUUGUCGGCGUGACGGUAUCCAACCAGAAAGCCACGGCUAACUACGUGCCAGCAGCCGCGGUAAUACGUAGGUGGCAAGCGUUAUCCGGAUUUAUUGGGCGUAAAGCGAGCGCAGGCGGUUUUUUAAGUCUGAUGUGAAAGCCCUCGGCUUAACCGAGGAAGCGCAUCGGAAACUGGGAAACUUGAGUGCAGAAGAGGACAGUGGAACUCCAUGUGUAGCGGUGAAAUGCGUAGAUAUAUGGAAGAACACCAGUGGCGAAGGCGGCUGUCUGGUCUGUAACUGACGCUGAGGCUCGAAAGCAUGGGUAGCGAACAGGAUUAGAUACCCUGGUAGUCCAUGCCGUAAACGAUGAAUGCUAGGUGUUGGAGGGUUUCCGCCCUUCAGUGCCGCAGCUAACGCAUUAAGCAUUCCGCCUGGGGAGUACGACCGCAAGGUUGAAACUCAAAGGAAUUGACGGGGGCCCGCACAAGCGGUGGAGCAUGUGGUUUAAUUCGAAGCAACGCGAAGAACCUUACCAGGUCUUGACAUCUUUUGAUCACCUGAGAGAUCAGGUUUCCCCUUCGGGGGCAAAAUGACAGGUGGUGCAUGGUUGUCGUCAGCUCGUGUCGUGAGAUGUUGGGUUAAGUCCCGCAACGAGCGCAACCCUUAUGACUAGUUGCCAGCAUUUAGUUGGGCACUCUAGUAAGACUGCCGGUGACAAACCGGAGGAAGGUGGGGAUGACGUCAAAUCAUCAUGCCCCUUAUGACCUGGGCUACACACGUGCUACAAUGGAUGGUACAACGAGUUGCGAGACCGCGAGGUCAAGCUAAUCUCUUAAAGCCAUUCUCAGUUCGGACUGUAGGCUGCAACUCGCCUACACGAAGUCGGAAUCGCUAGUAAUCGCGGAUCAGCACGCCGCGGUGAAUACGUUCCCGGGCCUUGUACACACCGCCCGUCACACCAUGAGAGUUUGUAACACCCGAAGCCGGUGGCGUAACCCUUUUAGGGAGCGAGCCGUCUAAGGUGGGACAAAUGAUUA
rnacentral:rRNA from 2 species